UGUUGGUUGUCCACCUGACUCCUGCCUUCACCGCGGGAUCCCUUGUGCUCUUUUGGCCUCCUGCUCACUGUGCAUGCAUCCAGUGACAUUCCUGGAUUGCUGUCGGCUGCUGAACAUGGGCCUCAUAGCCGACCUCAGCUGAUUGCAGAGCUUGCGGUAACACAAGGAGCGGCAACAUCAAGGCAUCUUGGUUCAAGUUCCGAAUGCUGCUGUUUUGUUUUGUCCGCGCCCAAGUUGUGUUAGUCCAUUUUAAACCUUCCACACGGGAGAACUGUACAACGGACGCUCUCGUCCAGUUUUAUUCUGUCUGAAAGUGGCCUUGAACGCCCUGCGUGUUAAGUGUCCAUAGAAGCUGUGGUUGCUAAAUUAAUGAACGUUUGUGUUUUUAUUGUAAGUUGUCUCCAGAG